rnacentral:rRNA from 1 species
AGCAGCCGCGGUAAUUCCAGCUCCAAUAGCGUAUAUUAAAGUUGUUGCAGUUAAAAAGCUCGUAGUUGAAUUUCGGGGUUAGCAGGUCGGUCGUGCCAUUGGUAUGAACUGGUCUCGCUGAUCCCUCCCUCUUGACGAACUGUGAUGCCAUUAAUUUGGUGUCGCAGGGAAUCAGGACUGUUACUUUGAAAAAAUUAGAGUGUUUAAAGCAGGCUUUAGCUUGAAUACAUUAGCAUGGAAUAAUGAAAUAGGACGUUUGAUCCUAUUUUGUUGGUUUCUAGGAUUGACGUAAUGAUUAAUAGGGAUAGUUGGGGGCAUUAGUAUUCAAUUGUCAGAGGUGAAAUUCUUGGAUUUAUUGAAGACUAACUACUGCGAAAGCAUUUGCCAAGGAUGUUUUCAUUAAUCAAGAACGAAAGUUAGGGGAUCGAAGACGAUCAGAUACCGUCGUAGUCUUAACCAUAAACUAUGCCAACUAGGGAUCGGAUGAUGUUAAUUUUUUAAUGACUCAUUCGGCGCCUUACG